ACAUGCAAGUCGAACGCAACCUUCGGGUUGAGUGGCGGACGGGUGAGUAACGCGUGAGAAUCUGCCUUGGGGUCGGGGACAACCACUGGAAACGGUGGCUAAUACCGGAUAAGCCUUUGGGUAAAAGAUUUAUUGCCCCAAGAGGAGCUCGCGUCUGAUUAGCUAGUUGGUGAGGUAAAAGCUCACCAAGGCAGCGAUCAGUAGCUGGUCUGAGAGGACGAUCAGCCACACUGGGACUGAGACACGGCCCAGACUCCUACGGGAGGCAGCAGUGGGGAAUUUUCCGCAAUGGGCGAAAGCCUGACGGAGCAAGACCGCGUGAGGGAGGAAGGCUCUUGGGUUGUAAACCUCUUUUCUCAGGGAAGAAGCUCUGACGGUACCUGAGGAAUCAGCCUCGGCUAACUCCGUGCCAGCAGCCGCGGUAAUACGGAGGAGGCAAGCGUUAUCCGGAAUUAUUGGGCGUAAAGCGUCCGCAGGUGGCGAUUCAAGUCUGCUGUCAAAGCACGGGGCUUAACUCCGUUAAGGCAGUGGAAACUGAAUAGCUAGA
rnacentral:rRNA from 1 species